CUAUGCUCUAACGUAUCAGCGAGAAUUAUUUGCUGUCAGAUCUAUGAUAAAGCUUGGAACUAUUUUCUUCCUGUGCAGAUUGUAAACAGGUUCCAAUGCCACAGGUGUGCCCACACCUGCCCAACGCCCCGGUGACACAAUGGACAUGUGAAAGGAAUCCUUCACAUCUUUCAACACAGCAUUUGUUCUCGGAAUAAGCUGGUGAGAUAUUGCCCUAUUUCGUGACAGAUGAAUGUUGAAGAACUCAACUGAACUUCAGGGUCUUGCUGACUUUCAUCCGCCGCUGUCUGGACUCCCAGGCUCGCUUCAGGAUGGACAGGUCGACUUUCGGGAGGCCCCUUCUACACUGCUCUCGUGCAGCAAGUGACCGCUCGGCUGUCAUAUGGACACCAAAUUUGA